rnacentral:rRNA from 1 species
ACAUGCCUACAACAUAUCGUUAAUGCACUAGAUCCCAGUAGAACUCUGCAGUUAAGAGCACUCAAGCUAGAGUAGUAUUGGGAUGGGUGACCAUCCGGGAAGUCUUAGUGUUUUACAUGCC